GCAGCUCAGAGAUAGAGCAUCUGCUUUCCAAGCAGAAAGUCUUGGGUUCAAUCCCCGCCAUCUCCA